AAGUCGUAACAAGGUUUCCGUAGGUGAACCUGCGGAAGGAUCAUUAAAAAUGUUAGCUCACAACAACAAAAAGGACAAGAGGUCGGGAUACACAUACAAUGUGUUGUCUUGGAAGCUCUCUUUUUUUGUGUGAGCAUCAACAAACAAAAAAACUCUGUGCAAUUUUGUGUUCUUUUCUUUCGAAAAGACCGCAUCCUUUUCUUCCUUUCUUGUUCGUUGGUUUUGUGAGAGGUGUUGUUUUUCUUUCUCUGAGAGAGACAACCGACUCCAAAAACACAUGAGAAAGGAUACUUUCUAAAAACUCCCCCAAGUCAUUCCUCAUUUUAAACUGAACCAGAAGAGCAAAAGCUCGAAGCAAUUCUUGCAGCCUUUGUCUUUUUCUACGAAAAAUUAUUGAACAACUCUUAGCAACGGAUAUCUUGGUUCUC
rnacentral:misc_RNA from 1 species